CUGGUAAAUAACUUUAGCUACUUUUAAAUUCAGUAUUAAAUGUGUAAAAUGAUAUCAGCCUGCGUCGUGAACGGUGGAAUAGGACGGUGGGGAAAUGAGUUUAUGCUUUUAGUGGAAGUUAAACGGCAUGGACUUCAUGUUUCACCUGUGCUUGAGAGGUUACAAGGACGGCAUCCUCGGUGGUUCCAAUUUCCAGCCCAUUCCCCAAUUUUCAACCCCAAUGACAGACAACACACGCUUGAAUGGCUGUUCAGCUAAAGAAGGGAAUUGAGCUGCUGGGGUGUUGGCGUCUGGGGAGGCUGAAAGAUGGCAGGCCGUAAUGAACCUUGGUCCGACCUUUGACCUCCUACC